ACCGGCAAACGGGUGCGGAACACGUACGCAACUUACCCUUAUCCGGGGCAUAGCCCGAAGAAAUUCGGAUUAACACCCCAUAGUAUCAGUUGGUGGCAUCACCGGUUGAUUAAAAAUUUAUUGGAUAGGGAUGGGCGUGCGUCCUAUUAGGUAGUUGGUGCGGGUAACGGCCCACCAAGCCAGCGAUAGGUAGCUGAUGUGAGAGCAUGAUCAGCCACACGGGCACUGAGACACGGGCCCGACUCCUACGGGAGGCAGCAGUAAGGAAUAUUGGUCAAUGGACGCAAGUCUGAACCAGCCAUGCCGCGUGGAGGAUGAAGGCCCUCUGGGUUGUAAACUUCUUUUAUCUGGGACGAAACCCUCAUAUUCUUAUGAGACUGACGGUACCAGAGGAAUAAGCACCGGCUAACUCCGUGCCAGCAGCCGCGGUAAUACGGAGGGUGCAAGCGUUAUCCGGAUUCACUGGGUUUAAAGGGUGCGUAGGAGGGCAGGUAAGUCAGUGGUGAAAUCUCCAAGCUUAACUUGGAAACUGCCGUUGAUACUAUCUGUCUUGAAUAUUGUGGAGGUGAGCGGAAUAUGUCAUGUAGCGGUGAAAUGCUUAGAUAUGACAUAGAACACCAAUUGCGAAGGCAGCUCACUACACAAUCAUUGACUCUGAGGCACGAAAGCGUGGGGAUCAAACAGGAUUAGAUACCCUGGUAGUCCACGCCCU
rnacentral:rRNA from 1 species